rnacentral:sRNA from 1 species
AGGCAUGGUGGCAUGUGCCUAUAAUCUCAACUACUUGGAAGCUCAGAUAAGAGGACUGCUUGAGCCCAGGAGUUUGGGUCCAGCUGGCCAACACAAUGAGACCUUGUCUCUU